UUUAGCCCUCAUCACAGGGGUGAGGCAAAGAUGGGAAACCAUCACAGGGCCUCUGUCCUCUUGCGUCACCGCUGCAGCCAAGCAACGAGCUUGGGAAGCUGUGGUGGAGGAGGUCAACGCCGUGAGUGGAGUUGGGCGCAGCGUGGAGGAGGUGCGCAUGAAGUUCUCCGACUUCAAGCGCCACACUAAGAAGAAGUUGGGAGAAUUAAGACGUGAGGCGACUAGCACAGGUGGCGGCUCUGUCCAAACAGACACCCUCACCGAUGCUGAGGAGGCCAUGGCGCAGGUGCUGGACCCUGCAGUUGUAGCGGGUGUGGGAUCUGGUUUAGAAUCAGAUCCUCGUCCAACACCUUCUGUGUCUGCAGCUGCUGCAGACACAGAAGUGUGUAGAAUCUUCCUUUCGGAGGAUUCUAUGACACCCGCACUUCUGCAAGGCCCAUCACAGCCCCCUCCUCACCAUCCCCGCCCUACUCCUACUCACCAGCUGGCCCCUGAAUUGGCACCUGUCCACCGUGCCCCAGAAACUCAAUCUCCCCCUGAUGUAGGAGCGGCACCUCACGCUUCCACCAGAAGACACAAGAGGGUUGAUCCACCAGUUGGGCCAAAAAUGGUGGAAAUUCAAGAAGAUAUCCUUCUUGAAGUGAGGAGGCUGAGUGGUACUAUGGACAAGGUAGCUGCAGCCUUGGAAAAAAUUGCAGUUACCUUGUCAAAAUAAGGUGACAGGUCCAAUUAGGUACCCAUUUAUCGUCCAGCCCAAAAGCGAGGAUGAACAGCCACUGCACCUUAAAGGAUCCCUCCACAGAUGCCUCCUCAGCCCCUCCCUUAGGACCAUCCAGCAGACCUCCACACCCAGCACCACCAACAUGGCCAACCACUCCG